rnacentral:rRNA from 1 species
AGCGAACGCUGGCGGCAGGCUUAACACAUGCAAGUCGAGCGCUCGUAGCAAUACGAGAGCGGCAGACGGGAGAGUAACACGUGGGAACGUACCCUUUGGUUCGGAACAACACAGGGAAACUUGUGCUAAUACCGGAUAAGCCCUUACGGGGAAAGAUUUAUCGCCAAAGGAUCGGCCCGCGUCUGAUUAGCUAGUUGGUGGGUAACGCUCACCAAGGCGACGAUCAGUAGCUGGCUGAGAGGAUGACCAGCCUCAUUGGGACUGAGACACGGCCCAAACUCCUACGGGAGGCAGCAGUGGGGAAUAUUGGACAAUGGGCGCAAGCCUGAUCCAGCCAUGCCGCGUGGAUGAUGAAGGCCUUAGGGUUGUAAA